rnacentral:rRNA from 1 species
GCGAACGCUGGCGGCAGGCCUAACACAUGCAAGUCGAACGAACUCUUCGGAGUUAGUGGCGGACGGGUGAGUAACACGUGGGAACGUGCCUUUUGGUUCGGAAUAACUCAGGGCAACUUGUGCUAAUACCGAAUGUGCCCUUCGGGGGAAAGAUUUAUCGCCAUUAGAGCGGCCCGCGUCUGAUUAGCUAGUUGGUGAGGUAACGGCUCACCAAGGCGACGAUCAGUAGCUGGUCUGAGAGGAUGACCAGCCACACUGGGACUGAGACACGGCCCAGACUCCUACGGGAGGCAGCAGUGGGGAAUCUUGCGCAAUGGGCGAAAGCCUGACGCAGCCAUGCCGCGUGAAUGAUGAAGGUCUUAGGAUUGUAAAAUUCUUUCACCGGGGACGAUAAUGACGGUACCCGGAGAAGAAGCCCCGGCUAACUUCGUG